rnacentral:lncRNA from 1 species
UAGUGAACACGGGACUGUGCCCACUGGACACUGGACGCUGGACGCGAAACCAGGGUGCCUAGGACCUGUUAAGAAUCAAACCUGGUCAAAUGAAUCACCUCUUUUAUUUCCUGCUAYAGAGAGCACUUGGAGAAAGGAAGUCUUCCUAGGACCUCUGCCUACCGCCCAUGAAAUACUCAUUUCUGUUUUAGGUAAGUGUAUUGCUUUGCUUUGAUACAUACUGAGCAGAAGGUAUUGAUUUCUUUCUGAAAACUCAUGUCAU